UCCCCGUUCACCGGGGCAGUCCCCGCAGAGUGCCCGGCAUGACCCGGUAGCAACAGCGGGCGAGGGUUGCGCUCGUUGCGGGACUUAACCCAACAUCUCACGACACGAGCUGACGACAGCCAUGCAGCACCUGUGCACAGGCCCCAAAGGGAGGGCGACUUUCAUCACCUGUCCUGCACAUGUCAAACCCAGGUAAGGUUCUUCGCGUUGCAUCGAAUUAAUCCGCAUGCUCCGCCGCUUGUGCGGGCCCCCGUCAAUUCCUUUGAGUCUUAGCCUUGCGGCCGUACUCCCCAGGCGGGGCACUUAAUGCGUUAGCUACGGCGCGGAAAACGUGGAAUGUCCCCCACACCUAGUGCCCAACGUUUACGGCAUGGACUAC
rnacentral:misc_RNA from 1 species